AGAGUUUGAUCCUGGCUCAGAAUGAACGCUGGCGGCGUGGAUUAGGCAUGCAAGUCGAACGCGAAACGGAUUCUUCGGAAACCGGAGUAGAGUGGCGAACUGGUGAGUAACGCUUGGGAAACCUACCCUCGAGUGGGGGACAUGUCCGAAAGACGUAAAUCCCGCAUGACGUCCUCCGGUCGCAUGACUGGAGGACCAAAGGUGCCCUCUGAUUCAAGGUGCCGCUCAAGGAUGGUCCCGAGUCCUAUUAGCUUGUUGGCGGGGUAACGGCCCACCAAGGCGAUGAUGGGUAGCUGGCCUGAGAGGGUGGUCAGCCACACUGGGACUGAGAUACGGCCCAGACUCCUAAGGGAGGCAGCAGUCGAGAGGCAUCGGCAAUGGGCGAAAGCCUGACCGUGCGACGCCGCGUGGACGAUGAAGGCCUUCGGGUCGUAAAGUCCUGUCACAGGGGGGAGAAACACACCUCGCUGAAUAAGCCGGGUGUUUGACGUUGCCCCUGGAGAAAGAGCCGGCUAACUCCGUGCCAGCAGCCGCGGUAAUACGGAGGGCUCAAGCGUUAUUCGGAAUCACUGGGCGUAAAGCGUACUUAGGCGGACUUUUAAGUCAGAUGUGAAAGCCCAGGGCUCAACCCUGGAACUGCAUUUGAAACUGGAAGUCUAGAGUCCCGGAGAGGUUAGGGGAAUUCCGAGUGUAGCAGUGAAAUGCGCAGAUAUUCGGAGGAACACCAGUGGCGUAGGCGCCUAACUGGACGGGAACUGACGCUGAGGUACGAAAGCGUGGGGAGCAAACAGGAUUAGAUACCCUGGUAGUCCACGCCGUAAACGAUGUAUGCUAGUUGUUGGGGAGUCUUAAGGCUUCAGUGACGCAGAGAAAUCAUUAAGCAUACCGCCUGGGGAGUACGGUCGCAAGAUUAAAACUCAAAGGAAUUGACGGGGACCCGCACAAGCGGUGGAGCAUGUUGUUUAAUUCGAAGCAACGCGAAGAACCUUACCCACACUUAACUAUCCUCUUGGGGCUUUCAGAGAUGAUCGCUUUCGGUUCGGCCGGGGAGUGAAUAGGUGCUGCAUGGCUGUCGUCAGCUCGUGUCGUGAGAUGUUAGGUCCUGCAACGAGCGCAACCCUUAUCGUAUGUUGCCAUCAGGUUAUGCUGGGAACUCAUGCGAGACUGCCGGUGACAAGCCGGAGGAAGGCGGGGACGACGUCAAGUCAUCAUGGCCCUUACGUGUGGGGCUACAAACGUGCUACAAUGGUAACGACAAUGGGCAGCCACUUCGCAAGGAAGGCGCUAAUCUCCAAACGUUAUCUCAGUUCGGAUUGUUCUCUGCAAGUCGAGAGCAUGAAGUUCGAGUCGCUAGUAAGAGUGCAUCAGCAUGUCACGGUGAAUACGGUCCCGGGUCUUGUACACACCGCCCGUCAAGCCACGAAAGCUGGUAGUACCCGAAGUCGCUGAGCUAACCCCUCGGGGAGGCAGGCGCCGAAGGUAAGACCAGCGAUUGGGGCUAAGUCGUAACAAGGUAACC
rnacentral:rRNA from 1 species